GAUCUGUAGCCGAACUGAGAGGUUGAUCGGCCGCAUUGGGACUGAGACACGGCCCAGACUCCUACGGGAGGCAGCAGUGGGGAAUAUUGCGCAAUGGGGGCAACCCUGACGCAGCAACGCCGCGUGCAGGAAGAAGGUCUUCGGAUUGUAAACUGUUGUCGCAAGGGAAGAAGACAGUGACGGUACCUUGUGAGAAAGUCACGGCUAACUACGUGCCAGCAGCCGCGGUAAUACGUAGGUGACAAGCGUUGUCCGGAUUUACUGGGUGUAAAGGGCGCGUAGGCGGACUGUCAAGUCAGUCGUGAAAUACCGGGGCUUAACCCCGGGGCUGCGAUUGAAACUGACAGCCUUGAGUAUCGGAGAGGAAAGCGGAAUUCCUAGUGUAGCGGUGAAAUGCGUAGAUAUUAGGAGGAACACCAGUGGCGAAGGCGGCUUUCUGGACGACAACUGACGCUGAGGCGCGAAAGUGUGGGGAGCAAACAGGAUUAGAUACCCUGGUAGUCCACACCGUAAACGAUGGAUACUAGGUGUAGGAGGUAUCGACCCCUUCUGUGCCGCAGUUAACACAAUAAGUAUCCCACCUGGGGAGUACGACCGCAAGGUUGAAACUCAAAGGAAUUGACGGGGGCCCGCACAAGCAGUGGAGUAUGUGGUUUAAUUCGAAGCAACGCGAAGAACCUUACCUGGGCUUGACAUCCCUGGAAUCGAGUAGAGAUACUUGAGUGCCUUCGGGAAUCAGGUGACAGGUGGUGCAUGGUUGUCGUCAGCUCGUGUCGUGAGAUGUUGGGUUAAGUCCCGCAACGAGCGCAACCCCUAUUGUCAGUUGCCAUCAUUAAGUUGGGCACUCUGGCGAGACUGCCGGUGACAAAUCGGAGGAAGGUGGGGACGACGUCAAAUCAUCAUGCCCCUUAUGCCCAGGGCUACACACGUACUACAAUGGCCGAUAACAAAGUGCAGCGAAACCGUGAGGUGGAGCGAAUCACAAAACUCGGUCUCAGUUCAGAUUGCAGGCUGCAACUCGCCUGCAUGAAGUUGGAAUUGCUAGUAAUCGCGGAUCAGAAUGCCGCGGUGAAUACGUUCCCGGGCCUUGUACACACCGCCCGUCACACCAUGAGAGUCGAUAACACCCGAAGCCUGUGAGCUAACCUAUUAGGAGGCAGCAGUCGAAGGUGGGGUUGAUGAUUGGGGUGAAGUCGGAACAAGGUAGCCGUAUCGGAAGGUGCGGCUG
rnacentral:rRNA from 1 species